UGCCAGCANHMGCGGUUAAACCUGCAUCUUAAUCAUAAAUCGUAGGUAUAAUGGUUUAAUUAAAAAAUGAAGAAAUCAACAAUUAAGUUGAAUUAAUAUAUAAAAACCCAACUCUUCAAGAUUAACAGUCCAUGAAAAUAACAAAAUAGGACUAGGAUUAGAUACCCUAUUACUAAUUAUCAUAAAACUAAAAUACCAGGGAAUUACAAGGAAACCUUAAAACCUAAAGAGCCUGGCGGCCCUUUAUAUAAUCAGGGGAGCUUGUUAUGUAAUCGAUAAUCCUCGCCAAAUCUUACCUUUCUUUACAAGUUUAUAUACCUUCGUGUAGUUGAUCUAUAAAAGAAAAUUAAAAAAGUUUGAAAAAUAUAAUACAAUUAUAUUAAUUCAAAUAAAAAAAUAUUAACAAACUAGAUUAAAACAAACUAAUUAAUUUUAAUCGUUAACUCAGAUAAAGGCAUAGCCUAUAGAAAGGAAAUAAAUGAGCUACUAUGCAAUAAGCUUGAAUUAUUAAUUGAAAUAUUAAAAUAAAAAAGUA
rnacentral:rRNA from 1 species